rnacentral:rRNA from 1 species
UACAGAGGGGGCAAGCGUUGUUCGGAAUUACUGGGCGUAAAGGGCGCGUAGGCGGCCUGUUAAGUCGAACGUGAAAUCCCCGGGCUCAACCCGGGAACUGCGUCCGAAACUGGCAGGCUCGAAUCCGGGAGAGGGAUGCGGAAUUCCAGGUGUAGCGGUGAAAUGCGUAGAUACCUGGAGGAACACCGGUGGCGAAGGCGGCAUCCUGGACCGGCAUUGACGCUGAGGCGCGAAAGCUAGGGGAGCAAACAGG